rnacentral:rRNA from 1 species
CGGAACGUGCCCAAUCGUGGGGGAUAGCUCGGCGAAAGCCGGAUUAAUACCGCAUACGAUCUACGGAUGAAAGCAGGGGACUCGCAAGGGCCUUGCGCGAAUGGAGCGGCCGAUGGCAGAUUAGGUAGUUGGUGGGGUAAAGGCUCACCAAGCCGACGAUCUGUAGCUGGUCUGAGAGGACGACCAGCCACACUGGGACUGAGACACGGCCCAGACUCCUACGGGAGGCAGCAGUGGGGAAUUUUGGACAAUGGGCGCAAGCCUGAUCCAGCAAUGCCGCGUGCAGGAUGAAGGCCUUCGGGUUGUAAACUGCUUUUGUACGGAACGAAAAGGCUCUGGUUAAUACCUGGGGCUCAUGACGGUACCGUAAGAAUAAGCACCGGCUAACUACGUGCCAGCAGCCGCGGUAAUACGUAGGGUGCGAGCGUUAAUCGGAAUUACUGGGCGUAAAGCGUGCGCAGGCGGUGAUGUAAGACAGUUGUGAAAUCCCCGGGCUCAACCUGGGAACUGCAUCUGUGACUGCAUCGCUGGAGUGCGGCAGAGGGGGAUGGAAUUCCGCGU